GGAAGAUAACUGAAUCAUGGGGGCAGUUUCCCCCAUACUGUCCUCAUGGUAGUGAAUAAGUCUCACCAGAUCUGAUGGUUUUGUAAAGGGGCAUUUCCCUGCACAAGCUUCCUCUUGCCUGCUGCCAUGUAAGAUGUGACUUUGUUCCUCCUUUGCCUUCUGCCUUGAUUGUGAGGACCCCUCAGCCACGUGGAACUCCUUGCCACAUGAAGAUGGCUUGCAAACAUCCAAAUAGAGUGAACAUAAUAAAACAAGAGCCUGGCUACUGAAUAUGGAAAUCCAUCAUUGUCUUUGUGUGAAAGCCAAGAUAAGUGCAGUGAGCUUCUUAGAAGCCACAAGUCUUUUGCCCAAGAAGUCCCCAGUAUCCUUGACAAACUUAGAGAGCCCUAAUGCUUUCAUCCAAACUUCUUUCUCCCUCUCCUUCACUGGGUUAGAAUUGUAUCAUGCUCUGAAGACUCACCCAACCCUUUCAUCCAACCUUUUCAUUUGUUCUCAUAGGUGUUUCUUCUAAUAAAUUUUUGCAGAUUUUUGAAAUUCUUCCUCAGCAGUUGCUUCCUGCAGGAUCUGAAGUAACCCAUUGUGGGACAAUGUUUUUCCUAUUUAAGGAGAGAUGGACUUGAUUAGCCAUUAACAGGAAAUGGAAUAAGGAGCUGAAAACACUUGUGAACUCCAAAAAUCUGAGACAGGUCUCAGUUAAUUCAGAAAGUUUAUUUUUCCAAGGAUGAGGAUACAUGCCUGUGAAACAGCCUCAGGAGUUUCUGAAGACAUGUGCCCAAAGUUUUCAGA
rnacentral:lncRNA from 10 species